UACGUAGGGGGCGAGCGUUGUCCGGAUUUAUUGGGCGUAAAGAGCUCGUAGGCGGUUUGGUAAGUCGGGUGUGAAAUCUCCACGCUCAACGCGGAGGGGCCACUCGAUACUGCCAUGACUCGAGUCCGGUAGAGGAGUGUGGAAUUCCCGGUGUAGCGGUGAAAUGCGCAGAUAUCAGGAGGAACACCGAUGGCGAAGGCAGGUCACUGGGCCGCAACUGACGCUGAGGAGCGAAAGCAUGGGGAGCGAACAGG
rnacentral:rRNA from 1 species